rnacentral:rRNA from 1 species
UACGUAGGGUGCGAGCGUUAAUCGGAAUUACUGGGCGUAAAGCGUGCGCAGGCGGUUUGUAAGCCAGAUGUGAAAGCCCCGGGCUCAACCUGGGAAUGGCAUUUGGGACUGCAAGGCUGGAGUUUGGCAGAGGAGACUGGGAAUUCCUGGUGUAGCAGUGAAAUGCGCAGAUAUCAGGAGGAACACCAAUGGCGAAGGCAGCUCGCUGGAACGGUACUGACGCUGAGGCGCGAAAGCGUGGGGAGCGAACAGG